rnacentral:rRNA from 1 species
UACGUAGGUCGCAAGCGUUGUCCGGAUUUACUGGGCGUAAAGAGCGCGCAGGCGGCUGGUCAAGUCCGAUGUGAAAUCUCCCGGCUCAACCGGGAGGGUGCGCCGGAAACUGGGUUGCUUGAGUACUGGAGAGGCAAGCGGAAUUCCUGGUGUAGCGGUGAAAUGCGUAGAUAUCAGGAGGAACACCGAUGGCGAAGGCAGGUCACUGGGCCGCAACUGACGCUGAGGAGCGAAAGCAUGGGGAGCGAACAGG